AUAAACUCAGUAUCAUUUUUUGAUAUCAAAUUUAGUUACCAAUUUAGUACUAGAACCAAAUUACUUCACAAACCACAGUCCGUUGUGACCAACAACCCUGGCAGAAAAUUUAGAGUAGCUCUAACUUUGGCCCCUGGAGAAUAAUUAAGAUGCCUUUUGAUAUGCUGGUGAUGAAACUAGGUGGUCUUCAGAAACCUCCCUGAAACAAAGGCUGAUUCCCACACCCCAAAAUGUCACCAGAGCCUGAGUCUGAGGUGGGUCCACAGCUCUCACCUAGAUCUCUUGUCUCCACCAAACAGAGCACUUGCCUGGCUAUCAUGUUCUGUUACUGUUUGUAAAGGAAAAAUAGAAUAGAAAUGCAACACUAAAUUGCCCAUGUCACUGAGUAGAAAGUGUGCCAAUUAUAGUGCAGAUCAAAGUCGAUUUUUAAUAAAAGGCUUGUGUUUAGGCUUUGAUAA
rnacentral:antisense_RNA from 1 species